rnacentral:rRNA from 1 species
UCUUCCCCCUUUCUUCGUGCCUAAUACAUGCAAGUCGAGCGAACAGACGAGGAGCUUGCUCCUCUGACGUUAGCGGCGGACGGGUGAGUAACACGUGGAUAACCUACCUUUAAGACUGGGAUAACUUCGGGAAACCGGAGCUAAUACCGGAUAAUAUAUUGAACAGCAUGGUUCAAUAGUGAAAGACGGUUUUGCUGUCAAUUAUAGAUGGAUCCGCGCCGCAUUAGCUAGUUGGUAAGGUAACGGCUUACCAAGGCAACGAUGCGUAGCCGACCUGAGAGGGUGAUCGGCCACACUGGAACUGAGACACGGUCCAGACUCCUACGGGAGGCAGCAGUAGGGAAUCUUCCGCAAUGGGCGAAAGCUUGACGGAGCAACGCCGCGUGAGUGAUGAAGGUCUUCGGAUCGUAAAACUCUGUUAUUAGGGAAGAACAAAUGUGUAAGUAACUAUGCACGUCUUGACGGUACCUAAUCAGAAAGCCACGGCUAACUACGUG